rnacentral:rRNA from 1 species
GACGAACGCUGGCGGCGUGCUUAACACAUGCAAGUCGAACGGUGACGCUGGAGCUUGCUCCAGCUGAUCAGUGGCGAACGGGUGAGUAACACGUGAGCAACCUGCCCUUGACUCUGGGAUAACCCCGGGAAACCGGAGCUAAUACCGGAUACGAACCGCACAGGCAUCUGCGCGGUUGGAAAGUUUUUCGGUCAAGGAUGGGCUCGCGGCCUAUCAGCUUGUUGGUGGGGUAACGGCCCACCAAGGCGACGACGGGUAGCCGGCCUGAGAGGGCGACCGGCCACACUGGGACUGAGACACGGCCCAGACUCCUACGGGAGGCAGCAGUGGGGAAUAUUGCACAAUGGGCGAAAGCCUGAUGCAGCGACGCCGCGUGAGGGAUGAAGGCCUUCGGGUUGUAAACCUCUUUCAGCAGGGAAGAAGCGAAAGUGACGGUACCUGCAGAAGAAGCACCGGCUAACUACGUGCCAGCCGCCGCGGUAAGAC